AAUUAUUCCAAAAGGAUAUCUGUUUCCCCUGUUUGUGUCACUGGAAAAGUUGAUAUAUAUAACCUCAUGAAGUAUUUUAGCAGUGUCUACAUGUUUGAACUUUCUUUUGUAAAUAAAGUGCUGUACUAGAUCACAUCAGUUAAGAUAUCAUGAAGGUCUAUUCCUUGACCUAAUCUAAAGCUCAUUUGACUGAUUUAAGUGGGAUUAGCUUGUGGAGCAUGUUGUAGUUCAAUCGUGAAUCAGGUGUCUUACUGCAUAUACAUGACUGAAUGGUGUGACAGUUACAAUUGUAUCCUUAACCAAGCCAAGGUCUUGGAUUUUGCUUUCUGCAGUGAUAGUCUCUAGGUGCUGUGUCUGAAAUCUGAAUCAUCAUACAACCUUGGUGCUUUCUGGGCCUUCAUGUGAAUCCAUAAAGUGGACUUUUAACCUUCACCCCACACGACUACUGCAUGUGAUUCAUGAUUGCUCUCUUACCAAGCAUACUUUUGUUUAGAAUGCUCCCUGGUUGCAUGGCUACUGCGCCAUUGCAUGGGCGAAAGGGAGGGCAAGCGGAAGCAAGACGGUCUUUUCACGCCUGACUGUGUUUAGGCAUAGAGGACCCGAUCUGGGAGUGUUCUCUUUCCCUUUUGUUUAUUUCUUUUCGACAUCUUUAUCUCCUCGAACCUUAUACUAAAAAGCAUUUCUUUUGUAAAUUAAGAAUUGGCAAGUGGGAUGGAAACCUGUGGUCAAGCUAAUCAAGUUGAUUUAUUUUAAGCAA